GUUCCUCUCUGAAGUACUCAGACAAUAGUAUCUCAGGCAUAUUUCUUGGGUUUUCAGAUGCUAAAAACCACCACCCAAUGGAAGAAAUUAACUCCUUGAUGAUCAUGAGCACGUAGCCCCCAGACCUUCUGGCACCUAAGGAUGGAUAAUGUUACCUGCCCUGUGGCCUCAACAUCAACCAGUCAGAGGAUUGUGCACGAGUAUUCAAUAGGAGCCGUGGACAUUGCUUAGAAAGACAAAACUUCAUUGAAGACCUUCAGAAUGGUCCCAUCAGAAAGAAUCGGGAUUCCAGUGUAUCCAGAACAAGUGGCUUUGAAGACUCAGAGCACAUGAUGGAACCAGUUCACACAGCUAAUAAGUCUGUUAACCAAGGACCGAAGUAUAACCUACCUCGGACCCCAGGUUACCUAACAUCUCGGCAUUUCCAUACCCAGACCCAAGAUUUGCAGCAAUCAGAAAGAAAAUUUUCACAGAAUCAGAACAUUUACCAGAGAGGCCAUAUUCCUCCUCCUGGUCCCCACGGAGAGGACCGUUUACACAGGAGGUACUCUUGGAAUGUAAAGCCAAAUGCCAGUCAAGCAGCGCAGAACAGAAGGUGGUAUCCUGGCGGUUACUACAGACUACCCUAUCCGACCUCUUAUAGAUGGACCAAGUGACACAAGCCUACUGUGGAAACCUAUCUAGAGACAGA